rnacentral:rRNA from 1 species
UAGCUAGUUGGUGAGGUAAAGGCUUACCAAGGCGACGAUCUGUAGCGGGUCUGAGAGGAUGAUCCGCCACACUGGAACUGAGACACGGUCCAGACUCCUACGGGAGGCAGCAGUGGGGAAUUUUGGACAAUGGAGGCAACCCUGAUCCAGCCAUGCCGCGUGAGUGAAGAAGGCCUUCGGGUUGUAAAGCCCUUUCGGCCGGGAAGAAAUCGCAUGGGCCAAUACCCUGUGUGGAUGACGGUACCGGAAUAAGAAGCACCGGCUAACUACGUGCCAGCAGCCGCGGUAAUACGUAGGGUGCGAGCGUUAAUCGGAAUUACUGGGCGUAAAGCGUGCGCAGGCGGUUUUGUAAGACAGGCGUGAAAUCCCCGGGCUUAACCUGGGAACUGCGUUUGUGACUGCAAGGCUAGAGUACGGCAGAGGGGGGUGGAAUUCCACGUGUAGCAGUGAAAUGCGUAGAGAUGUGGAGGAACACCAAUGGCGAAGGCAGCCCCCUGGGUCGAUACUGACGCUCAUGCACGAAAGCGUGGGUAGCAAACAGGAUUAGAUACCCUGGUAGUCCACGCCCUAAACUAUGUCAACUAGGUGUUGGGUGGGUAAAACCAUUUAGUACCGUAGCUAACGCGUGAAGUUGACCGCCUGGGGAGUACGGCCGCAAGGUUAAAACUCAAAGGAAUUGACGGGGACCCGCACAAGCGGUGGAUGAUGUGGAUUAAUUCGAUGCAACGCGAAAAACCUUACCUACCCUUGACAUGCCAGGAACUUGCCAGAGAUGGCUUGGUGCCCGAAAGGGAGCCUGGACACAGGUGCUGCAUGGCUGUCGUCAGCUCGUGUCGUGAGAUGUUGGGUUAAGUCCCGCAACGAGCGCAACCCUUGUCGUUAAUUGCCAUCAUUUAGUUGGGCACUUUAACGAGACUGCCGGUGACAAACCGGAGGAAGGUGGGGAUGACGUCAAGUCCUCAUGGCCCUUAUGGGUAGGGCUUCACACGUCAUACAAUGGUCGGUACAAAGGGUUGCCAAGCCGCGAGGCGGAGCCAAUCCCAGAAAGCCGAUCGCAGUCCGGAUUGCAGGCUGCAACUCGCCUGCAUGAAGUCGGAAUCGCUAGUAAUCGUGGAUCAGCAUGUCACGGUGAAUACGUUCCCGGGUCUUGUACACACCGCCCGUCACACCAUGGGAGCGGGUUCCGCCAGAAGUAGGUAGCCUAACCGCAAGGGGGGCGCUUACCACGGCGGGGUUCGUGACUGGGGUGAAGUCGUAACAAGGUAGCCGUAGGGGAACCUGCGGCUG